CCCUUAGAUGUUCUGGGCCGCACGCGUGCUACACUGAGUGGAUCAGCGGGUCAGGUUGCGCGAAAGUGUUUCCUAAUCUUGAAAUCCGCUCGUGAUGGGGAUUGACGGUUGCAAUUUUCCGUCAUGAACGAGGAAUACCUUGUAAGCGCGGGUCAUCAUCCCGCGCUGAAUACGUCCCUGCCCUUUGUACACACCGCCCGUCGCUCCUACCGAUUGAGUGGUCCGGUGAGGCUUUGGGAUCUGAGCAAAAAGAGCGUUUCACUCGUUUGGCUCGGAAAACUCAGUCGAACCUUAUCAUUUAGAGGAAGGAGAAGUCGUAACA
rnacentral:rRNA from 1 species